rfam:Schistosoma mattheei strain Denwood, Zambia genome assembly, scaffold: SMTD_scaffold0008080
AUCCAGAUGACGAGUCUCAGAUAGAACGAAACACGCGUUAAACUGGAU